GAAGGGUAGCCAGUGCUACCGCGAUUUAUAAACAAUCGUUCGAGAGGGUGCAACUCCCCCCCCCUUGGAGGGUAUCCAAGCCC
rfam:Colombian potato soil-borne virus isolate IS9 segment RNA2 putative coat protein (CP-RT) and coat protein (ORF1) genes, complete cds.